UGAGGAAUAUUGGUCAAUGGGCGCAAGCCUGAACCAGCCAUGCCGCGUGCAGGAUGACGGUCCUAUGGAUUGUAAACUGCUUUUGUACGAGAAGAAACACUACUUCGUGAAGUAGCUUGACGGUAUCGUAAGAAUAAGGAUCGGCUAACUCCGUGCCAGCAGCCGCGGUAAUACGGAGGAUCCAAGCGUUAUCCGGAAUCAUUGGGUUUAAAGGGUCCGUAGGCGGUCUUAUAAGUCAGUGGUGAAAUCUCCCCGCUCAACGGGGAAACUGCCAUUGAUACUGUAGGACUUGAAUAAUUAGGAAGUAACUAGAAUAUGUAGUGUAGCGGUGAAAUGCUUAGAGAUUACAUGGAAUACCAAUUGCGAAGGCAGGUUACUACUAAUUUAUUGACGCUGAUGGACGAAAGCGUGGGUAGCGAACA
rnacentral:rRNA from 1 species